GGGGGCGCACUGGUUUCGACGGGGAUGUGAAAGCCGUCAACCGCGGGCCGAGGCGCCGCUGGCCUCGUAAAAAGCGGCAACAAAAGUAAUUGGCAACGAUUACGAAUACGCCUACGCUGCUUAAUUAGCAGCGCCGCCAUAAGCGUUGACGCCUGAUAGGCGCGUAUGACGGACACUUUUUCAGGCUGGCGCCGGAUGAUGCUUUCCGCUGACGGCGCGAGACUUUUCAGGAAAGCUGGCUGCAAAACGCCCCGGCCGGGAGCCAAGCUUGCAGCAAGAGAAUAAACCCGGCCUACGCCCGUAGACGUUCCGGCCAACGCUUCUCGGACGCGAGUUCGAUUCUCGCCGCCUCCACCA
rnacentral:tmRNA from 1 species